ensembl:lncRNA
CUAUUAGUGUUUUCAGCUGAGAUGAGCACUCCGGCCUUGUAAACUGGAUUUUGCUAGUCAUUUAGGAGUUACAUGCCUGCCAAGGAGGUGCUGGAGGAGCGUAGCUUGCUGUGCUGCUCUUGUGAGUGUGAACUACACUUCUCAGGAUAAGAUUACUAAAUGCUGAACUGGAAGGAGAUACAUACAAUCACAUCCUCCAAGCUGACAUAAGCUGGCUCCAGCACACCACUGAAGGAGAUUCAUUCUCGUACAUAACACCAGGAGACAUGGGUUCCAUCCCUGGGUCAGGAAGAUCCCCUGGAAAAGGAAGUGGCAACCCACUCCAAUAUUCUUGCCAGGAAAAUCCCACGGAUGGAGGAGCCUGGCGGGGUAUAGUCCAUGGGGUCACAAAAGAGUUGGCUA